GGAGAGGUAGCGAAGUCCGGUCAUACCGCGCCGCUCUCGAAAAGCGGUUGAGCCGUAAGGCUCACGUGGGUUCGAAUCCCACCCUCUCCG
rnacentral:tRNA from 1 species